rnacentral:rRNA from 1 species
GCAAGUCGCACGAGAAAGUUCUCUUCGGAGAGCGAGUAGAGUGGCGCACGGGUGAGUAACACUUAGGUAACUUACCUCCUCGCUGGGGACAACAGGUGGAAACGCCUGCUAAUACCGAAUAAUUUAUAACUUUCUGCGGAUUGUUAUAAUAAAGCCGUAAGGCGCGAGGAGAGAGGCUUAAUUCCCAUUAGCUUGUUGGUAGGGUAAAGGCCUACCAAGGCGACGAUGGGUAGCUGGUCUUAGAGGAUGUCC